rnacentral:piRNA from 1 species
AAAAUAAAUACAUUCUGAGCCGC